AUGUGACUGGGAGUGUAUUAAACAUAAAUAAUAUAUAAGUGUUGAAUAUUUUAUUGGUGUAUGGAGAUGUUCUUGUCAUUUAGAAGCACUUGCGGUGGACAAUGCCGGGGCCGGACUCGUCGUAUUCCUCCUUGGUGAUCCACAUGGUCUGGAAGGUGGACAGAGAGGCAAGGAUGGAGCCACCGAUCCAUACGGAGUACUUGCGCUCAGGAGGAGCAAUGAUCUUGAUCUUGAUGGUGGGAGGAGCAAGAGCAGUGAUUU